rnacentral:rRNA from 1 species
GCACCCUCCUAACAGCUAGCCCACCCCCAUAAAACAACAACCAACAUUAAUAACCCCAAACACCCUGUGAACACAAAACAAACCAUUUUACCACCUGAGUAUCUGUGACAGAAAAGGAACUAGGCGCAAUAGAGAAAGUACCGCAAGGGAAAGCUGAAAGAGAAGUGAAACAACCCAGUAAAGAGCAAAAAAGCAGAGAUACCACCUCGUACCUUUUGCAUCAUGACUUAGCUAGUCCCCUUCGAGCAAAGUGCCCUUUAGUUCGAACCCCCGAAACUAGGCGAGCUACUCCAAGACAGCCUUCAUAGGGCAAACCCGUCUCUGUAGCAAAAGAGUGGGAAGAUCUUUGAGUAGAGGUGACAGACCUACCGAGCCUGGUUAUAGCUGGUUGCCUAUAAAAUGAACAGAAGUUCAGCCCUUAAGCUUUUUCAUUCCCUAAUGUUUUUACUGCCCGUGAAACAAAGAAACUUAAGGAGUUAUUCAAGGGGGGAACAGCCCCCUUGAAAAAAGAUACAACUUUAUGAGCAGGCUAAAGAUCAUAAAUCCCAAAGGCAGUGUACCUUAGUGGGCCUAAAAGCAGCCAUCCAUGAGGAAAGCGUUAAAGCUCAAGUACAACUUCCUCCCCCAAUUUCGACAAUGAUAUCUUAAGCCCCCCCAACAUAGUAGGCCUUUUCAUGCACCCAUGAAAGAGAUAAUGCUAACAUGAGUAAUAAGAGGGUUGCCCCUCUCCCCGACAUCUGUGUACAUCAGAACGAACCCACACUGAAACUUAACGCACCCAGUAAAAUGAGGGCAUUGAGCCACAUAUAAAUGAACUAGAAAACUUCUCAAAUUAUAGCGUUAACCCCACACAGGUGUGUCCAAGGAAAGACUGAAAGGAAAAGAAGGAACUCGGCAAACACUGGCCUCGCCUGUUUACCAAAAACAUCGCCUCUUGCAUGAUAAGCCCGUAUAAGAGGUCCCGCCUGCCCUGUGACCUAACGGUUUAACGGCCGCGGUAUUUUGACCGUGCGAAGGUAGCGUAAUCACUUGUCUUUUAAAUGGAGACCUGUAUGAAUGGCAUAACGAGGGCUAAGCUGUCUCCUUUUUCUAGUCAAUGAAAUUGAUCUUCCCGUGCAGAAGCGAGAAUAAAAGCAUAAGACGAGAAGACCCUAUGGAGCUUUAGACACAAGGCAGCUCACGUAAAACCACCCAAGCUAAAGGAAAUAACAAAGUGACCCCUGCCCCUAUGUCUUUGGUUGGGGCGACCGUGGGGCAACAAGAAUCCCCCAUGUGGAAUGGAAACUUUCCUCCUAAAAUAAGAGCUACAGCUCUAAUAAGCAGAACAUCUGACCAACAAGAUCCGGCAAUGCCGAUCAACGGACCGAGUUACCCUAGGGAUAACAGCGCAAUCCCCUUUUAGAGCCCAUAUCGACAAGGGGGUUUACGACCUCGAUGUUGGAUCAGGACAUCCUAAUGGUGCAGCCGCUAUUAAGGGUUC